GUCUGCGACCGGAACGUAUUUAUUAGAUAUUAGACCAAUCGGAGCAAUCUGAUUGAGAUGAAUCAAAGUAACUGAUCGAAUCGCAGCUUGCUGCGAUAAAUCAUCUAAGUUUCUGCCCUAUCAGCUCUCGAUGGUAGUGUAUUGGACUACCAUGGCAGUCACGGGUAACGGAGAAUUAGGGUUCGAUUCCGGAGAAGGAGCCUGAGAAACGGCUACUACAACUACGGUUCGGCAGCAGGGAAGAAAAUUGGCCAAUCCUAAUUCAGGGAGCCAGUGACAAGAAAUAGCAAGCUGGGAAACUUAGUUUCUACGGCAUUGAAAUGAGAAAAGUGUAAAUCUCUUAGCGAGGAACAAUUGGAGGGCAAGUCAUGGUGCCAGCAGCCGCGGUAAUUCCAGCUCCAAUAGCGUAUAUUAAAGUUGUUGCAGUUAAAAAGCUCGUAGUUGAACUUCUAUUCAGGUUCAUUUCGACUCGUCGAGUGAAACUGGAUAUACGUUUGCAAACUAAAAUCGGCCUUCACUGGUUCGACUUAGGGAGUAAACAUUUUACUGUGAAAAAAUUAGAGUGUUUCAGGCAGGUUUUAGCCCGAAUACAUUAGCAUGGAAUAAUGGAAUAGGACUAAGUCCAUUUUAUUGGUUCUUGGAUUUGGUAAUGAUUAAUAGGGACAGUUGGGGGCAUUAGUAUUUAAUAGUCAGAGGUGAAAUUCUUGGAUUUAUUAAGGACUAACUAAUGCGAAAGCAUUUGCCAAAGAUGUUUUCAUUAAUCAAGAACGAAAGUUAGGGGAUCAAAGACGAUCAGAUACCGUCGUAGUCUUAACUAUAAACUAUACCGACUCGGGAUCGGCAGGAAUAUAUGUCCUGUCGGCACCGUAUGAGAAAUCAAAGUCUUUGGGUUCUGGGGGAAGUAUGGUACGCAAGUCUGAAACUUAAAGGAAUUGACGGAACAGCACACCAGAAGUGGAACCUGCGGCUUAAUUUGACUCAACACGGGGAAACUCACGAGCGCAAGACAGAGAAGGGAUUGACAGAUUGAGAGCUCUUUCUUGAUUCUUUGGGUGGUGGUGCAUGGCCGUUCUUAGUUGGUGGAGUGAUUUGUCUGGUUAAUUCCGUUAACGAACGAGACCUUAACCUGCUAACUAGUCUGCCUGUGAACAACAGGUUGUACUUCUUAGAGGGACUAUUGUGCAAGAAGCCAAUGGAAGUUUAAGGCAAUAACAGGUCUGUGAUGCCCCUAGACGUGCUCGGCCGCACGCGCGUUACAAUGACUGGCGCAGAAAGUAUUUCCUGUCCUGGGAAGGUACGGGUAAUCUUAUUAAUACCAGUCGUGUUAGGGAUAGUUCUUUGGAAUUGUGGAUCUUGAACGAGGAAUUUCUAGUAAGUGCAAGUCAUCAG
rnacentral:rRNA from 2 species